GGGGGGGGGGAUAAUGUUUUAUCAAUGCUUGUUUAUCGAUAUUUGUUUUUUACCCAGAAAGAAAAUGUUUUGUGAUGCCACUUCCUCACUAUUUGGAAUUUAAAAAAGACUUCAGCCACAGCUAACUUUUUUUCUCAUGAUUCAAGCAAACAACUGCCCCUAUAGAUUUUGUCCACCUCAGACCCUAUUCAAAUACAAAGCACAAUCAAUUUUGUGGUAGGGCAGAGAACUUAAAGGGAGAACAUUCAUGUUUUUUUUUGUUUUGACAAAGUCUGAAAGGAGCCAAAAGAAAAGAACAAAAAAAAUCUUUGCUAGAUGAAGGGAACAGGAGACAAAAAAAUAUGAUACAAGUAUCCACAAUGAUAGUUUUGCUAUCGGGGCGGCCGGGGGGGG